GGGUGGAUAGUUCAACUGGUAGAACGCACUUUUGCAAGGUUAUCGCUUCUAACGAUCCCCCCCCUUUAUGUCGCGAGAUGUGGGUUCGAGUCCCAUUCCACCCC
rnacentral:tRNA from 1 species